rnacentral:rRNA from 1 species
AUUGAACGCUGGCGGCAGGCUUAACACAUGCAAGUCGAGCGGGGGAAGGUAGCUUGCUACCGGACCUAGCGGCGGACGGGUGAGUAAUGCUUAGGAAUCUGCCUAUUAGUGGGGGACAACAUCUCGAAAGGGAUGCUAAUACCGCAUACGUCCUACGGGAGAAAGCAGGGGAUCUUCGGACCUUGCGCUAAUAGAUGAGCCUAAGUCAGAUUAGCUAGUUGGGGGGGUAAAGGCCUACCAAGGCGACGAUCUGUAGCGGGUCUGAGAGGAUGAUCCGCCACACUGGGACUGAGACACGGCCCCGACUCCUACGGGAGGCAGCAGUGGGGAAUAUUGGACAAUGGGGGGAACCCUGAUCCAGCCAUGCCGCGUGUGUGAAGAAGGCCUUAUGGUUGUAAAGCACUUUAAGCGAGGAGGAGGCUACUUUAGUUAAUACCUAGAGAUAGUGGACGUUACUCGCAGAAUAAGCACCGGCUAACUCUGUGCCAGCCGCCGCCGUAA